rnacentral:pre_miRNA from 1 species
UUUGUACUUCAUCAGGUGCUCUGGUGAUCUUCUAUCCAGGCAUCUUAUGCAGUGCAAUUU